rnacentral:tRNA from 1 species
GAGAAGAAUUUAGAAAUACAGAAAUUGCUAACUAUCUGAUCUCGUG